UUUUUCUUUUUUUAGUCUAUUUUUAUGAUGGAUUACAUUAAUUGACUUUAAAAUGUUGUACCAGCAUUGAAUACCAGGGAUAAAUUUCACUUGGUUGUGGUGUAUCAUUUUUCAUAUAUAUUGUUGAAUUCUACUUGCUAAUAUUUAGUUAAGGUUUGACACCUAUGUUCAUGAGAGAUAAUGAUCCCCACUUUCUUGUUAUAUCUUUGCAUGCUUUUGGUAUUAGCAUAUCACUGGCCUCAUAAAAUGAGUUAGGAAAUAUUUAUUCUUUUCCUCUUUGCUGAAAAAAUAAUCAUACAGAAUUAACAUAAUUUCGUUCACAAAUGUUUUGUAGAAUUCACCAGUGAAUUAAUCUGGGCCUAGUGCUUUCAGUUUUGGAAGGUUAUUAAUUAUAGGUUCAAUCUCCUUAAUAGGUAUAGGUCUGUUCAUAUUGUCUCUUUCAGAAGUCAAUGAAUUAUUUUUGCUGCUAUGCUGGUAAAUAUUGAGGCAAAUAUUUGACAAGUAACAUUCUGAAAAAGAGACACCGUGAUUUGUAGCAUUUGAAAGUUUUUCUUAUAUAAGUAUUCUCACUUUGGCCAAUUCCAAGCUACCAACGUGAUGUCAUUGAAUGUAGCUUUAGGAAGAAAUGCACAGAAUAGAUUCUUGUAAGCUAGCAUAAGUCAACUAAAGUACAUCCUCGAGUUUAUUCUAAAUAGUAUAGCUAGACAAAAUUUGAUUUCACCUUUUUUGUUGUUGGAUACUUAGAUAAAUUAACAUGUAUUUCUCCUUAGACAUAAAAUAUGUCACUCUAGCAUCUAAUAAGAAAGGAAGAAUACUGGAUAAAACUUGCAAGGGGUAGUGACAUUAUCAAGAGUUUGGAGAAAACAAACCAAUUUUAAAUCAUUAAUAACAUUUUUGCUUCUUCUUCUAUUUUGUCAAGGACUGCACUGAAUAGGUGCACUUUUUAUAAAUAAUGUUUUAAGUAACAAUAAUUGUGAAUGGAUUUAGGGGACACAUAGGGAGACAAUGGGACAAAGGAGGAGCAGGGAAAAGGAAUAGCUAAUGUCUACUCAGCAAGAGAAGAACAAUCAACCAGCCAUUCAACAGUACCACACCCAUUUAACAAAUGUUUAUUGAGUGUGUACUAUGUAUUAGGGAUUGUUUUGGGUAGUACUGAUGCAAUAAUUAGCUAACAGAAAGAAUUAUUUAUUAUAUAUAAGCAUCCAUUGUAGUAGAGGAGACAGAUAAUAAAUAGGAUCAAUCAGUAGUAUAUAAUAUGUUACAAAGUUCUCAGUGUUACUGGAAAAAAAAUAGCUAGAGGAGAAGAACAUAAAUUGCUCCAUCUGGCAGAGGUCCGGCUGCAGCUUUAGAUCAGGGAGGGAAGGGUAGCAGCAUGUACCACCCCAAAAUAUUUCUCUUUAUUCUAAGGAGUAUUUUGAGCUGAUUAUUUCAAGAAAAAGUAGGCUCCAGAGAAGCUAUAAAAACAGAGUAGAAGUUACCCUUUUGUAGGAGAAGUUCACAUUGGAAACAAGGUCUGUACCAGGGAGAGAUCUAUUAACAGAGAUAGCUGAUUUGCCUGAGGGAUUUAUUUACAAGGCACUUAUUAAAGUUUCCUCUUCCCACCUUCCCAGGAAUUGCUUUAGCCCCUUUGAAGCCCCAGACCCCUAUUUGUUUCCCUAGUUCAGUAUAGCAUAUAAACCUCAAUCAUCUGGCUGCCUUUUCGGUCUUCUAUCUUUAUGAGGGCUCUGGUAUAUACAUACAUAAUUUAAAGGGUGUUUUUUUUUUUUCUCUUGUUAAUCUGUCUUUUAUUGCAGGGAUGUUUUAGCCAAGAACCAAGAAUGGUAGAGAGGAAAUUAUUUUUCCUUCUCUACAGAGAUCAGACCAUGCUCACUGAGAGUCGUCCUUGAAAAAUCAUCGCACGUAUCCUCAGGCCCCAUUCUUGCCAAACACCUUAGAAACACUUAGAAGUGAUUUUUUGCUCUUUUAUUGCAGUGACUAUUAUAGUCUGAAUUGACAGCAUUGAUGGAGAGAAAAAAGUACAAGUCAGGUGACAAGAAAAAUUAGAGGUGAUAUGGCAGGUAGAUAAUCUGCUUGAAGAUAAUUGCAGAUAAAUGUAAGAGCAAAAUUUCUAGAACCCCUCCCCAGUCACAGCCGCUAAUACCACUGAGAUUGUAAUUAGAAGUGCCUCACAUCCAUUACCUGGAAAGAACAGAAAUACUGCCACCUAGAUUUAUUUUAGAAGUUUCCCUGUGAAUUUUGUCUGAUUUUUGUUGUGUCUGAAAAGUUUGGGUUUGCUUGGGCAUGAUAAGCACAAAAUGAAACGCUUAGUGGGAUUUUGGGGGGACAUUUAAAUCUGUCUAAAACAUUUCUGCAAUCAUUCAUGCAGCAACUACUGAUUGAGAACCUGCCCCGUGACAAUCCCCCUAAGGGUGUGUGCCUAAAUCCUAAAAUGCAGAGGAUCAAGACAUGGAGCCAUGAACACUACAUCAUCAGAUGUCUUCUAGGAUAAGACUGGGGACAAGCAAAGCAGUUGGAAAGCAGAAUUUCCACAUGUGCAUUUUGAAAACAUCAGGCCAAAGACGUCAAAGUUACUGUGUGCUUUCUUGAUCUUUGACAAAAAGAGAAAGUUGAAAAGGAAAGAGAGAAUGUUGCUCAACUGCAGAUUUUCAUCCAAUGAAGAUAAGACAAGAAUAUAACUAAGGAAAUAUAUUUUGAAAAGUCAAAGGAAAACAAAUUACAAAUUGUUAAAGAGAAGGCCAAAACGUUUCACAAAUUUUAACAACUGGAAGGGUAGUUCCAGAAACUGAUUAAUUUCACACUGAGCUAAGUAAACAAGCCCAUUUGAAAUAAAAUUCCACAUCAGAAAUGGAAAGACCUGAAACAACCAGAUGGCCUGCAAUUGUAUUUCGACUAAACUUAUUUUCUUAAUGGCUUAAAGGUAAAUUUAAAGUUAAAUUAGGUUCAGAAUGCAAUUGGAAGUUAAAUGGUGUGUAAAUUAAUAGUUCAAAUUUUAAAGUAAUAGCAUUAGUUUCGAUUUUUGAAAUAAACUGGUGAAAAACCACAUAUG
rnacentral:lncRNA from 1 species